AAAGCCACAGAAGCUUGCCUGAAAAACAAUCAAAAAACACAAAAUGCCAUCCGUGAGAAGGCAAAAUCCAAAAGGGCAUCCAAACCAAGGAAGUUUCACAUUUCUUCUCACCAAAAACAGAAUUUUCAAUAUGGCAAUAAACACAUAGAAACCUAUCACUUCAUAACAACUACUUCUAUAAUGUAUAAUUUAGAUUUUUCCUUUACUAGAAACCCUUUGUUUAUUUAUUUAUAAACACAAAAAAAAAAGAAGUUUCCUUUUGAAUUCUGUGAACUUUUUAUCUUCUUUGAAGGAUCUUUAACACUAUGUUUGAAUCAUGGUUUGUAAUGGUUUCAUAUAUUAUAUGGUAUAAUUAGUGAUGGUUUUGGAUUGUAACUAUCAUUUUACCACAACUUUUCAAAUCACCAAAUUGAUGAUUUGGAAUGAUUUUAGAAUUUUUAGAUUUUAGAAUUUUUACAUUCUUAUUUUAUCCUUACAUAAUUUAUUUUCUCAUGGAAAUAUUAUAUA
rnacentral:misc_RNA from 1 species